GCGAAUUCUCAGGGCGGGGCGAAAUUCCCCACCGGCGGUAAAUCAAGUUGAAGUGACUUGAUCAGCCCGCGAGCGCUUACUUGAACACAUAACUCAAGUAUUCAAGUAAGGUCAGCAGAUCUGGUGAAAACCCAGAGCCGACGGUCAUAGUCCGGAUGAAAGAGGAUCAGU
rnacentral:ncRNA from 1 species